AAAUUCUUAAUUUGAAUCAUACCAUCGUUUUGUCUAUUGAUAUAAUGGCAAAUUUCAAGUAUUUUUCUAUUUGUCUAAUUCUCUUAUGUAUUAUCUUCGCUGAGAACUUGGAUCUUUACGAAUGUAAAAGCAGAAAACUUGUAGGUACCGAAAAUGAUAUGGAUUGGUUUGAAAAAAAUGGGAAGAAAAUUGAAAGUGAUGCAAUAACGUUGUCACCAUGCCAUAGAUUGCUUUGCAACGGGUUACAUAAUUGUUAUUGUUGUAUUGCAAAACCAGAUUUAGGAUGUUUUAAUGUGCAGGCUGAUUGUGAAAAGAUUUGCCCUUAUCAAUAAUCUCAUCUAUUUUGUAUUAAUUUCAAUAAAUUCAUGAAAUGGGUAAAUAAAAUGAUUUCAUAUUUAUCA